AUUGAACGCUGGCGGCAGGCCUAACACAUGCAAGUCGAGCGGAUGAAGGGAGCUUGCUCCUGGAUUCAGCGGCGGACGGGUGAGUAAUGCCUAGGAAUCUGCCUGGUAGUGGGGGAUAACGUCCGGAAACGGGCGCUAAUACCGCAUACGUCCUGAGGGAGAAAGUGGGGGAUCUUCGGACCUCACGCUAUCAGAUGAGCCUAGGUCGGAUUAGCUAGUUGGUGGGGUAAAGGCCUACCAAGGCGACGAUCCGUAACUGGUCUGAGAGGAUGAUCAGUCACACUGGAACUGAGACACGGUCCAGACUCCUACGGGAGGCAGCAGUGGGGAAUAUUGGGCAAUGGGCGAAAGCCUGAUCCAGCCAUGCCGCGUGUGUGAAGAAGGUCUUCGGAUUGUAAAGCACUUUAAGUUGGGAGGAAGGGCAGUAAGUUAAUACCUGGCUGUCUUGACGGUACCAACAGAAUAAGCACCGGCUAACUUCGUG
rnacentral:rRNA from 1 species